rnacentral:rRNA from 1 species
CCCCUAAAUAGGGACUGGAAUGAACGGCUACAUGAAGACUUUACUGUCUCUUGCUGCUAGUCAAUGAAACUGAUCUCCCAGUACAAAAGCUGGAAUAAUCUCAUAAGACAAAAAGACCCUGUGGAGCUUUUAAACCAAGUACACCAAAAUGUUCUAUCACGGUUUUUAGUUGGGGCGACUUCGGAACAAAAUAAAACUUCCGAAACCAUGGAUCAUACCCAUAUCUAAGGCCAACACGCCAAGAUGAGUCAUCUACUUGACCCAGUUUACCACAUACUGAUCAAUGAACCAAGUUACCCCAGGGAUAACAGCGCCAUCUUCUUUUAGAGUCCAUAUCGACAAGAAGGUUUACGACCUCGAUGUUGGAUCAGGACACCCAAAUAGUGCAGCCGCUAUUAAAGGUUCG